rnacentral:rRNA from 1 species
UACAGAGGGUGCGAGCGUUAAUCGGAAUUACUGGGCGUAAAGCGCGCGUAGGCGGCUCUGCAAGUCGGGUGUGAAAUCCCCAGGCUUAACCUGGGAACUGCAUUCGAGACUGCAUUGCUAGAGUAUGGGAGAGGGAAGUGGAAUUUCCGGUGUAGCGGUGAAAUGCGUAGAUAUCGGAAGGAACAUCAGUGGCGAAAGCGACUUCCUGGACCAAUACUGACGCUCAUGUGCGAAGGCGUGGGGAGCAAACAGG